rnacentral:tRNA from 1 species
UGACCGGUAGCUCAGUUGGUUAGAGCGUCCGCCCGUUAAGCGGAGGGUCGUGGGUUCAAGUCCCACCCGGCCAGCCA